rnacentral:rRNA from 1 species
UACGUAGGGGGCGAGCGUUGUCCGGAUUUAUUGGGCGUAAAGAGCGUGUAGGCGGCCAGGUAGGUCCGUUGUGAAAACUCGAGGCUCAACCUCGAGCUGUCGAUGGAAACCAUCUGGCUAGAGUCCGGAAGAGGAGAGUGGAAUUCCCGGUGUAGCGGUGAAAUGCGCAGAUAUCGGGAAGAACACCCGUGGCGAAGGCGGUUCUCUGGGACGGUACUGACGCUGAGACGCGAAAGCGUGGGGAGCGAACAGG